rnacentral:rRNA from 1 species
UGGAAUGAGUACAAUUUAAAUCCCUUAACGAGGAACAAUUGGAGGGCAAGUCUGGUGCCAGCAGCCGCGGUAAUUCCAGCUCCAAUAGCGUAUAUUAAAGUUGUUGUGGUUAAAAAGCUCGUAGUUGAACCUUGGGCCUGGCUGGCCGGUCCGCCUCACCGCGUGUACUGGUCCGGCCGGGCCUUUCCCUCUGUGGAACCCCAUGCCCUUCACUGGGUGUGGCGGGGAAACAGGACUUUUACUGUGAAAAAAUUAGAGUGCUCCAGGCAGGCCUAUGCUCGAAUACAUUAGCAUGGAAUAAUAGAAUAGGACGUGUGGUUCUAUUUUGUUGGUUUCUAGGACCGCCGUAAUGAUUAAUAGGGACAGUCGGGGGCAUCAGUAUUCAAUUGUCAGAGGUGAAAUUCUUGGAUUUAUUGAAGACUAACUACUGCGAAAGCAUUUGCCAAGGAUGUUUUCAUUAAUCAGGAACGAAAGUUAGGGGAUCGAAGACGAUCAGAUACCGUCGUAGUCUUAACCAUAAACUAUGCCGACUAGGGAUCGGACGGUGUUAUUUUUUGACCCGUUCGGCACCUUACGAGAAAUCAAAGUGCUUGGGCUCCAGGGGGAGUAUGGUCGCAAGGCUGAAACUUAAAGGA